AUUCCAUGUGUAGCGGUAAAAUGCGUAAAUAUAUGGAGGAACACCAGUGGCGAAGGCGGCUUGCUGGGUCUAAACUGACGCUGAGGCACGAAAGCGUGGGGAGCAAACAGGAUUAGAUACCCUGGUAGUCCACGCCGUAAACGAUGAGUACUAAGUGUUGGAGAAAUUCAGUGCUGCAGUUAACGCAAUAAGUACUCCGCCUGAGUAGUACGUGCGCAAGCAUAAAACUCAAAGGAAUUGGCGGGACCUCGCACAAGCGGUGGAUCAUGUUGUUUAAUUCGAGGAUACGCGGAGAACCUUACCAGGCCUUGACAUCCCUUGCAAAGCUAUAGAGAUAUAGUAGAGGUAUUCAAGGAGACAGGUGGUGCAUGGUUGUCGUCAGCUCGUGUCGUGAGAUGUUGGGUUAAGUCCCGCAACGAGCGCAACUCUUAUCGUUAUUUGCCAUCAUUAAGUUGGGCACUAUAACGAGACUGCCAGUGAUAAAUUGGAGGAAGGUGGGAAUGACGUCAAAUCAUCAUGCCCCUUAUGGCCUGGGCUACAAACGUGAUACAAUGGUUGGAACAAAGGGAGGCAAAGCUGUGAAGCCAAGCGAACCCCAUAAAAACAAUCUCAGUUCGGAUUGAAGUCUGCAACUCGACUUCAUGAAGUCGGAAUCGCUAGUAAUCGUAGAUCAGAAUGCUACGGUGAAUACGUUCUCGAGGUUUGCACACACCGCCCGUCAAACCACGAAAGUUAGUAAUACCCAAAACCGGUGGCCUAACCAUUUAUGGAGGGAGCCGUCUAAGGUAGGGCUAAUGAUUGGGGUUAAGUCGUAACCAAGGUAACCCGAAAGGGCGAAUUCGUANCUCNC
rnacentral:rRNA from 1 species